GGGCGCGGUUUGGAGUACCCGCUGCAGGCAAAUUUACUCUAUUCCCGUCCUUCAGGAUGGCGUAGCGUUCGUGUUGAAGGAUCCACUGCGGACAGCCUCAGUUCGUGCCUCUCAGACUCGUCGCGUCGCCUCUCGGACUCCCAUCCCUUUCUUUCUGCACUCGUUUCCGUCGCCUCUGUUCGUCACGUCGCGUCGGGCGGCCACCGCCAGGCGGCACCCGACGCCCGGCUCCCCGCCUCCCCAACCAGCCAACGCAUAAACCGCCGCGCCGCCACCGCCGGUACCAUUCCAAUUCCAACCCUCGCCCACUCCACGCCGCAGCACGCGCUCCUCCGCCGCCCCCACCGAUCGAGCCGCGACAUCGACCCGGAGGCGGAUGCCCCGUCGCCGUCGGCAUGUCCCUCCGCUUGAGCGCCGCACGCGACCGAUGCUUGGAGCUGCAGCGCGCCAUCGCCAGCCGCGUCCGCUCGGGAAGCCUCGGCCUCGAUGACGCCGUCAAGCUGUUCGACGAAUUGCUCCUUGUCGCCAGGCCCGCCUCAGUUCGCGCCUUCAAUCAGCUCCUCACCGCCGUCUCUCGCUCCCAGGGAAGGGGCUCCUCGACCUCCGCACUCGUCGUCUCCCUCUUCAACCGGAUGACCCGUGCCUCCCCGAACAAGGUGGCUCCCGAUGGGUUCACCUACAGCAUCCUCGUCAAUUGCUUCUGCCGCAUGGGACGCCUGGAGCUUGGUCUCGCCUCAUUUGGCCUCGUCCUCAAGGCGGGCUGGAGGGUGGGCACAGUCAUCACUCCGCUUCUCAAAGGUCUCUGUGACGCAAAGAGGGUGGAUGAGGCCAUGAAGAUAUUGAGCCAACGAAUGCCUGAGUUUGGCUGCCCACCAAAUGUUGUGUCGUACACCACCGUCAUCAAUGGCUUAUUUAGAGAUGGCCAUGUGGAUAGAGCUUACAGCCUAUUUCGUGAAAUGGAUAACCGGGGGAUUUUUCCGACUAUUGUGACCUACACCGCAGUCAUUGAUGGCCUGUGCAAAGCUCAAGAAGUUAACAGGGCCGAGGGUGUCCUUCAACAGAUGAUUAAUAAAGGUGUCAAGCCAAAUAUUCGAACAUAUACUUGUCUGAUCCAUGGAUAUUGCUCUUCAGGACAGGGGAAAGAGGUGGUUCGAAUGCUCAAAGAAAUGUCCGCACAUGGUCAUAAACCAGAUGUUGUCAUUUGUAGUUUGCUGCUGGAUUACCAUUGCAAGAGUGGAAGAUGCAUAGAGGCUAGAAAGAUGUUUGAUUAUAUGAUUGAAAAGGGCAUAAAACCUAAUAUAACUACAUAUAACACUCUGCUUCAUGGGUAUGCUAUCAAAGGAGCUCUUUCUGAUGUGCAUGGUCUCUUGGAUUUGAUGACAGGAAAUGGUAUUUCACCUGAUCAUCACACCUUCAAUAUAGUUCUCUGUGCGUAUGCUAAAGGUGGUAUGAUAAAUGAGGCAAUGCAUAUAUUUGACCAAAUGAGGCAGCAAGGGUCGAGUCCUGACGCGGUCAGCUAUGGAACAUUAAUAGAUGCACUUUGUAAGUUGGGAAGAGUGGAUGAGGCUAUGCUUAAAUUCAAUCAGAUGAUCUAUGAAGGGGUGACUCCUAAUAUCGUUGUUUUUAACUCACUAGUUUAUGGACUGUGCACUGUUGACAAAUGGGAGAAGGCCGAGGAAUUAUUUUCUGAAAUGCUGAAUCAAGGGAUCCAUCCCAAUGUCACGUUUUUCACCACAAUAAUGCGUAACUUUUGCAAUAGAGGAUGGGUCACGGAAGCUCAAAGUCUUCUUGACUUGAUGGUACGUGUAGGUGUGAGGCCUAAUGUUAUCUCGUAUAAUACAUUAAUUGAUGGCUACUGCUUAGUUGGUAGAAUGAAGGAAGCUAUGAAAUUACUUGAUGAUAUGUUCCAAGUUGGUUUGAAACCAGAUGCCAUUUCUUAUAACACUUUGCUUCAUGGAUAUUGUAGAGCUGGCAGGAUAGAUGAUGCAGUUAGACUAUUCAGAGAAAUGUUAAGCACUGAAGUUAGGCCUGGAAUUGUCAGUUACAACACGGUACUUCAGGGUUUAUUUCAGUCUGGGAAGUUUUCUGAAGCAAAAGAACUCUAUCUCAAUAUGAUCAAAAGUGGAAUGCAGGUGGACAUUUACACGUGCAACAUAAUUCUGAAUGGUCUUUGCAAUAAUAACUGUGUUGAUCAAGCAUUUAAAAUAUUUCAGAGUCUAUGUUCUAAGGAUUUUCAACUUAACAUCAUUACCUUCAACAUUAUGAUUGAUGCUUUGCUAAAAAGUGGCAGAAAGGAAGAUGCUAUGGAUAUGUUCGCUGCUCUCUCAGCUCAUGGUUUAGUUCCGGAUGUUGGGAUCUAUCGCUUAAUGAUAGAAAAUCUCAUAAAAGAAGGGUUGCUAGAAGAGUUUGACAAUCUGUUUUUAGCAAUGGAAAAGAGUGGAUGCACUCCAGACUCAUCUAUGCUAAAUUCUCUUGUUAGGAGGCUGUUGCAUAAAGGUGAGAUAAAGAGGGCUGGGGCAUACCUCUCUAAAAUUGAUGAGAUGAACUUCUCACUUGAGGCAUCCACUACUUCCUUGCUAAUAUCAGUUUUCUCGAGGGAGGAAUAUCAGCACCAAAUGAUGUCCCUGCCUGAAAAGUAUCAUUUUCUUGUGGAUGUCGAGAAAUGAGGAUUAUUGCAGAGGAAUUGGAUUCUCAACUAUGAUGAGACAUCAGUAUGUGACCCCUAAAUUUGUUGGAUUGAUUGUCUCUCCAAUGCAGUUAUUAUUUGUGUCUCAAGCUCUAAUUUACCUGCCAUAUUAUGUGGUCUCCUUUAUUUAGAGAAAUGCUAUCAUAAGGCAGUGCACAUCAUGCAGCAGAGAAAUGUUUGGUGGCUGCAAAAUAGAGAAAAGGGAGAAGAGAACAUUAUAUAUCAGGAUUCUUCACUCUAGAGCCAAAGCCUUUAAUCUUUUUAUCCUCCAGAUUCUCCUCUAUGACAGCUUGUAGUGAGCAAGGUGUGGAAACCUGCAGAUUCAAGGAAUUUUUCAACAUAUAUUCCCCUCUACAGGCUUUUGCUAUAAAUAUAGGCCAACUGGGGAUGUGCACUUCAAAGUUCCAAACCUUCAUAGCUUACAAGGAGUACCAGAGCUCAGAAGCAUCAGUAUUCAGCACAUAGUGCAACUAUUGCAGAACGCGCAAGACAACACACAUUGAGCUAUUACGCAGCAGCUCUUCUGGCGGACGAAGCGGUAAGAGAGACGACUACGGGAGGACAUAUGUGGUGAGGCCAAAGGGAAGGCACCUAGCCACCAUUGUGUGGCUCCAUGGCCUAGGUGACAAUGGAGCAAGAGGCAAGUUUUGGAUAUUAAUAGUUCAAUUGAAACAUUGAAGAAAUCUUGGGCAUUGGAAGGAUGCUCUGUUCUGGUUAACAGAGGGCAUGGUGAUAAUGAAUGUUUCAUAUUGAACUUCGCAGUUCAUUGUUCUUAGGGUGUGUCUUUCCUUCGUUCCAUCCGUCUGCCGUCAGACAUCAACAAAGAUGAAUCUUAUGUAUUUGAGCUAGUUGACUCUUGUAUUGAAGAAAUUGGAGAGAAAAGUGUGGUGCAGGUCAUCACCGGCAUUAAUCCAACGAUGAAGUCAGCAAAAAUGCUUACUGAGAAAAGGCCCAACAUAUUUUGGACUCACUGUGCUGCAGAUUGCAUUGACUCGAUGUUUGAAGACAGCCACACAAGGCGCAAUCCCCCCUCCCCUCCUCCUCGGCUCCGGCUCCAAGUUCAAGCAUGGUGCCUCCUUCCGCGCCGACCCCACCGAGAGCCUUGCCCCCAAGCUGCGUGGCGCCAAUUCCACGCUUGCCUGCACCGACCUCGUCUCCCCGAGCUCACGGCCUUCUGUGCAGGGGAUGCCGCUGCACUCGCCGGCCUCGUAUUUGGACUCAAGCAGCGGCCGCGCAGCAGCAACUCGAUGCCGUGGCCUCCAACGUCCGCAACACCAUGCCCAGUCCCAACUGUACAAGAUUGAAGAUUCCAAGCUGCAGUGCAGUGCUAGCUGGUCUGAUCUACUUCCUGUUGCAUUGGUCCGGUUUCCAAGUCCAAGAAUCCAAGGUCCCAAGCUCUGAGAAUGUCAGAGGACAUGGCUUGGAACUGUGGAUAUUUUUCUAAUCCAAAUAACUGGGAUGUGCCCAAGCACAAGAUAUGCCGGUGCGGGAGGGAAAUCAGAGGGGGUUUGCAAUUUGUCUUGAGGCAAGUGUAUCUGUAUGACUUGGAAGCUGCAAGGCAUGGAACUCCAGAAGGUGGAGAACCCAAAUCUGCAUACGAGAGUUUUGGAGAGUUAUUAUCGACGAUGUCCGAUUUAAGCAAUUUUGUGGAGAAUUUUGGUUUCUGUGUGUAGCACUCAAUUUGAUUAAUACUAGUUGACAUGAACAGAUUUGGAAUAGAAUAAUUGUUGCUUUACGGUGUAUAUGAUUUUGGAUAUUGAAAUGCAAUAUUUUUUUUGUUCAAUAGAUAUGUUUCCUUGGCGGUUGGCAGCCAAUGAAACUCAUAUUAUUUGGUGAGUGAGGACAGUCAAGGAAAUUAAUUUACUUGGCCGUUAGCAGCACUCAAGGAAACUACUUUACUUGGCGACUAGUGACAGCCAAGCAAAACAAUUUGCUUGGCGGCUAUUGGCAGCCAUGGAAACUAAUUUGCUUGGCGGUUGAGACAUUUCCUUGGCGCUUUAGCCAUUUUUCCAUUUCCAUAGAUUUCUUGGCGGCCAAACUGCCAAGUAAAUAAUUCCUGGCGGUUGGCCGCCAAGUUAAGAAUCAUUUUCUUGGCGGUUUCAGUAGUUUCCUUGGCGGUAUUUGGCCGCCAAGGCAAUUCCUGUUUGGUGUAGUGAUUCCUUUGGUCAGGAAAACAAUUGUUAAGGCAAGGUUACUAACUGCUUUUAUUUAUGGCCGAACACAUUUGUUGGACAUGACACGCAAGUUCACCGGCCAAUGGGAUUUAGUUCAUGUUGGGAUUACUUAUUACACCACUUGUCUCUUGAACUUGAAGAGCCUUUAUGAUAAGAGGUUUGAGUUGAAGGCUAUGUUUAUCUCCAAAGAAUGGGAGGACAGCAAAUGGUCAAAUGGAUCUGUGGGCAAGAAAUUCUAUAAUCUAGUAGUUAGUAACGAGUUUUGGCAUGGGGUGCUAUAUACUAUAAACAGUUUUGAGCCACUAGUGGAUGUUCUCAGGAAGAUAGGCAGUGACAGCUCUAUGGGGUACAUAUAUGGUGAGCUUACAAAUGCAAAAAUGGAAAUUGCCUUGCGUUUUGAAAACAAUGAAGAGCACUAUUUGCCAAUAUGGGAUAAUAUAGAUUUUAGAUUAGAUGCUGCUCUCAGGACACUGCUGCACCUAGCUGGUUAUUAUCUGAAUCCAUUCUUCUACUAUCAGAACAAAGAUGGAAUUGAAAAUGCAGAAAUCUUCAGAGAUGCAUUUGUUGAGUGCACGCGCAAAAUGAUCCCAGAUUGUGAGUCAACUGGAUCUUUACAGAAGUGCUUCACAGAGUUUUGGGACGGUUCAUGCCAUCCGUUCUCAAAAAAAUCUCGAUCCAGUUUCUUGGUGGGAAUUACAUGGCGGUGCAGCAAAGGACUUGAGCAGAAUGGCACUAAGGUUGUUGAGGUUAACAUGUAGCUCACUGGCAUAUGAAGAAAGAUGUAUCGAGCAGCUGCAUAAAAAGAAGCCAUGUUGGAUUAAACGUAAGCAAUUCGAGGAUUCAAUGUUUGUGACGGUGAACAGAAGGAUACAAGGGAAAGCUCAAAUGAGAGAGAGACCCUGUACUUGCAUACCUUCCUGAUGAAGAUGAACCAUUUGACUGGCUGGAGGGCAUGUUCCGCUUUCAUGCGGAACAACUUGAAAAUGAUGGUUUACGUAUGGCACGGGCUAACAGUAGUGAGGAAGCAGGACUGUCUAAGCAAGCGAGGAAACUAUUGGACUAUGAUGAGUAUAGUUCAUCCGAGGAAGGGUGCGAGGAUGAUGAAGAACCUCCAAAGCGCUCCAUCAUUAAUAAGGCAUCAUCCAGUGCUUCAUGCUCAAAGCGAGCAAAGAGGCCACGGUCCAUCGAUGAGUGCGAGGGAAGUGAUGGAAACAUCAGCUACUAAGUUCUGGUGGUGAUGUACGGUCUGUUGACAUGUUUUCUGAUCCGUAAGCGCUCAUAGGAUGGAGUCCCUACUGACCUUGGACUUAUUGCUCACGUUGGACAGUUGACUGUAUACCCUGCAUUGGUCUGGAUGCUUUUGUCUGUAUCAUCAUGCAUGUGAUUUGUAGACAUCCAGUUUCACAUUGAGUGAGCUACUUAUUAUCUACUUUAUCGAGCAUGCUUAGUUGGUAA